AUACUUACCUGGCAGUGGAGAGGCCACAAUCACAAAGGUGGUUUUCCCGGGCGAGGCUCGUCCAUUGCACUCCGGAUGUGCUGACCCCUGCGAUUUCCCCAAAUGUGGGAAACUCGACUGGUGGUAGGGACUGUGUUCGCACUCUCCCCUA
rnacentral:snRNA from 1 species